rnacentral:rRNA from 1 species
AUUGAACGCUGGCGGCAGGCCUAACACAUGCAAGUCGAGCGGAGCGGCGGACGGGUGAGUGAUGCCUAGUAAGCUACAUGGUAGUGGCGUAUAACUUCCGGGAACGGGCGCCAAUACCGCAUACGAUCAGAUGCGCCUAGGGUGUAUCAGCUAGUUGGUGGGGCAAAGGACUACCAAGUCGACGAUCCGUAACUGGGCCGAGAGGAGGAUCAGUCACACUGGAACGGAGACACGGUCCAGACUCCUACGGGAGGCAGCAGUGGGGAAUAUUCGUCAAUGGACGAAAGGCUGAUCGAGCCAUGCCGCGUGUGUGAAGAAGGUCUUCGGAUUGUAAAGCACUUUAAGUUGGGAGGCGUUACCAAAAGAGUAAGCACCGGCUAACUACGUGCCAGCAGCCGCGGUAAUAC